AAUAACCGGACCAAUUCACAUGAAAAUGCCAACAGUCAUUCCCUAUGCCUAGGAGAGUUAACCAAAAAAUUAUAAGAGUAAAACAAUCAUCGAUAUUCACCAAAGAGAUGUUUUUGGAUUCAACCACAUUAACUUGACACCCUUUUAUUAUUAAAACUUGGCAAAAGUAGAAAUAGAGGCAAUAAUCCAACAUCAAACUUUGGCAUCACUUAUGAGCUAAUCAUUAAAAAGGAAGAAAGAAAUUGAACGAGAGGUGGACAAAUAGCAAAUUAAAAAAAAAAGCAAAAACAUCUAAGAAAAACUAAAAGUAGAAAAACUAGCACAGCUGCCCCCACACCUAGAUCCUACAUUGCCCUCAAU
rnacentral:lncRNA from 1 species